UUUGAAGCGGUGUUCUCUUUUUAAGUGGGAUAUGGAACAAUGGUCUCACAUUCUCCUGUCGACCUAGAUUGGCACUAUGAAGAAGCAAGGAAGCUAGAAUUGGAACCAUAGUUUCAAAGAAAACAUUCUAAGAUACCAAAUCCAGUUCAUAAUCCAAUGGGAUAAUGAAGCAUGCACAUGAGAAGAGCAGAUACAUCAGCAUGUCCUUCGUUCCACAUACAGUGUUUGUGUUGCCCUUGAACGCAGAGUUCCUGCGGACCUCUAAUGCUCUUAGCAAGUCUCAGUGUGCGUACCAGGUCCCAAAGCUAUCAACUCUUCAACCACUGGAGGCCCUUGAUCCCUGAACUUUCUACUCUUGCCAAUUUCUGCUUGAAAAUCCACCCACACUCACCUGCGUGCAUGUCUUUCUUACUUAAGUAGCAGCCAACACACGAUCACACUGAC